rnacentral:rRNA from 1 species
CCUACGGGAGGCAGCAGUGGGGAAUAUUGCACAAUGGGCGAAAGCCUGAUGCAGCAACGCCGCGUGAGCGAUGAAGGCCUUCGGGUCGUAAAGCUCUGUCUUUAAGGGAGUUAAUGACGGUACGUGAGGAGGAAGCACCGGCAAACUACGUGCCAGCAGCCGCGGUAAUACGUAGGCGGCUAGCGUUAUCCGGAGUUACUGGGCGUAAAGGGUGCGUAGGUGGUUUCUUAAGUCAGAGGUGAAAGGCUACGGCUCAACCGUAGUAAGCCUUUGAAACUGGGGAACUUGAGUGCAGGAGAGGUGAGCGGAAUUCGUGGUGUAGCGGUGAAAUGCGUAGAUAUUAGGAGGAACACCGGUUGCGAAGGCAGCUCUCUGGACUGUAACUGACACUGAGGCACGAAAGCGUGGGGAGCAAACAGGAUUAGAUACCCUAGUAGUC